ACAACUUCCUCAAAUACAAAAACACAGAGCGAUCAGCUGACAGUGAGUGCAGUACUAGUUUAGACAUGUUGAUUUGUCUCUUAAAGUCCAUAUAACACCGGUGACUAAAACUAAAACUGAGGAAUGUUAACAGGAAGUGGAAGAAACUGCUCGUAUCUGGAAGUUCUCAGAAGUGAGUGGAAGAAGUCGUCUCGACACCACAACACAAAGUGAAACAUGGGCAGUGAGUACAAACCACUGUCUUCUGCAGAGUCAUGCAGAACUUUAUUCAUAGAGAAGUCAGAGUGCUUUAUAUGCAGGGACGUUGAACUUCAAGCCAGUGACCCACUGAGGAAUUUCUGUGACUGCAAGAAUUUACUUGCUCAUCACGUGUGUCUGUCCACGUGGAUCCAGAAGGGAUGUGGGAGUGAAGACAGGCUGCACUGCAUUAUCUGCAAAGCCAAGUACCAUCUCCAGAGGAGUUCUCCAUGGUGGGCUGUGAGCUUCCAGUGGCAAACAUGGCUUGUGCUGAUCACUGCGUUGGUUUUGAUGAGUCUGGUACCUUACGUUGUUUAUUGCAUGAUGACCACCUUCACCAAGCCCCCUCCGCCCAGCACCUUUAAAGUGGCAGCUGCCUCUUUUGGUCUGCUGACAGAGAUCCUGCUGAUCAAGUGUCUGUCCAGCUUCCUGAGCAGUCGUUACAGGCAGGCGGAGCAGAGAUCCUUCACAGUGCGGGCCAGAGGCUUUGACGAGGACAGAACGAGCCCGGGCCGCUGGGAUCGGUCUGAGGCCUCAUCAGUGGCUGGUCACGCUUCAACAACAGCCUCACCCAGUCAAGUGGACGAGAGGAAAGUGGAUAUGUUGAAGAGUGGAGGUCUUGGCCUUUAUUGAACCACUAACAGAAGGAGUUUACAGAAUACAGGGUGUGAGUGAAGCCUAUGAGUAUUAGUCAUUCAAGAUAUCACAUCAGUUUAUCAUCUUUAUGAGAUCAUACACUUUAAAACCUAUUUUCCAAAUAUCCUUGUUUUCCUAUAUCUCCCACCCUUACACUCUUCAUUCAGUAUAUACAGUACAUACUGAAUGUGUGGUGGUGAUGACCUAGUGGUCUAGUGGUACGGCUUCCAAAUACAACACCAGAUGGUUGUGAGUUCAAUAUCCGGGCUGCCACCAGUGUACCCCUGAGCAAGGCACUUAACCCUGAGUUGCUCCAGGGAGACUGUCCCUGUAGUUAGUUCACUGUAAGUCGCUCUGGAUACAGAUAAUUGACCUGUAAUGUAAAAAAGUAUAUUCAGUAUAUUCUCACAUAUUGCAAAAUGAUUAUAAGGAAGCUAAUAUACGCAGCUUUCAUGAGUGUGUUCAGGCUCAGGAAGGAAAAGAAAAGCCUUGAAUCACUCUCUUUCCUUAAUAAUGUCCGCACAGAGACAAUGGGGCACCGCUCUGAUUAGUGUCACCUGUCCUUGUGCAUCUCAUCAGCUCCAUUAUGGCUCCAUCUCCCAUGCUUCUUCUGCUAAUUGAAUAGCCUGUGAAGUGGUGACGAGGACGGGGGCGAGAGCAACGUCUGUCCCACUGCUGCUUCACAAAUGAGAGUGAAGCUUCCCAGUGAGACCCUACUGAGGUUCUUAAAACAUAAACCAUUAUCAUACAGAUGGAAAAGAUGCUAACAAGUAGUCCUCAUGUUAUAUUACCGUCAUAUCGUCUACGGAUUAUGUUACAUACAACAGCUUUCAAUUAACAUCCACUGUAUGUUUUGAUAGGGAUGCAAUGCUGCACUGCACCUUUCUUUAGUGUAUCACACAGAGUUCAUAUUGGACAGAGCAGUAAGACAAUCACUGAUGAUACCUAGAGUGGUUAAGAAAAUUGAUAUCUGUCCAUUAAAUAUUCUCCUGUAGCUGGUUGUCUUAGCUUAGUUUAGCACAAAGACUGGAAACAGGGGGGAAAUAGCCUGGCUUUUAAAUGGUAACAAAAUCCAACUACCAGGACCUCCUAAUCUCACAAAUGAACAUGUUAUAACGUGUUUGUUUAAUCCGCACCAAAACCAAAGCGUGAAAAAGGCAAUUCACAUAUUUUCGGGGGGUUAUGUGCUGACAAUUUCCCAAAUUGUCAAACUAUUCCUUAAGAUUUUGAAAACUAAAACAUUUUUAUUAUCAACAAAUGCCAUGAAAAGAUGAUGGUUGGAUUAAUUCCACCGGCACGACUCUGCUGCUGACCCUGUGCUCACUGUUUGCUUGUUUGUCUGCGUUUGUAUCUUUUGUGGUUCUUGUUUCAUGUGGAGAAUUAUUCAUUGUGAGCGACGUUUUGACACAGAAUCACAAUGAAUUUAGUGCAACAGUGGAUUAUUAUUUGCCUUACGGCAUCCCUGCUGCUUGGAAAGUCUUGUUGGACAAGUCAGCGUGUCUUCCUGGCCUUCAUACUUGUCUCUUCACUCACGCAUCGCUGAUGUUUCAGGCCUAAAUUAAUCUAAGAGGCUAUACAACAGUCAGAGUAGACAUACAUGAUCGGACAAUAACUGGGAUAAACAGUGCACAGUUUGAGAAAAUCAUUCUUAUUCUCACUUAUGUUCCUGGUCCAAAUAACGAUGCUGCAGCAGAGAGGUUAUUGUUACAAUGACACCUUCUCUCGCUCUGCAGAUCAAACUGUUUUAAAGAGAUUUUAAUCCAUGUGGUUUAUCUGGGUAUUGACCAACCCUCCAUAAUAUAUGGACCGUCCCACUCGCUUUACCCGCACUCUUGACUCUUUACUUUAGGAGCAUCCCAGAUGGCGAUGAGGCUGGGCGAUCGUACACAGUGUUAGUCACCAUUUGCUGACACAAGUGACACGAAUGACACCCGUCACCAAAGUAGUUUGUAGUUAAGUGUGGUCUGAGGAAUAUAAAGAGGAACCGAGUGGCUGUCUAGGGAACAUUGUAUGGGACAUUUUCUUUAUAUCUUGCAUAGAUUAGAUUAGAGGAAACAGUGUCUGUGAUUUACUUUUUCAUUUCAUCUAUAGAGUCUAAUGUGUGUUAGGCAAAGACUGAGAAUCUUCCAAAACAACAAGUCCUGGCUUUCAAAAGAACUAAAAGGAAGUCUUAAUGGAAAGAAAAUGGUCUUCUGCAGUGGUGACAGUGAAUUAUCUGAGAAAAAGAGACAACUCAGAGAAAAAUAAGAUUGAAAUGACAAUGGAUAACAUGAGAAGCACAGGAAGGCGUAAAUGAAGGGGGGGGGGGAAGAAUGCUCUGUCAGCAACAGUCAGUUCUUUACUAAUGAUAAUAAAUGUUUAUUACAGUAGAUUCGCUCGUGCAAAGAUGAAAAUAGGCUCCUGGCCCAGACGGACUACAGGCACAGGUCCUGAAAGAUCCAAAUAAAAGGAUACUUUACAAGGUUAUCCCAGUCACGCACAGUGCCCUGAUCAGGCAAGAUCUCAAUCAUUAGCUCUGUGUCCAACACGGCAAAAGAAAGAAUGCUAAAUGAUGUUCAACCACUUGCCAUCACUUCUGUCCUUUGUAAAACCAUGGAGAGGGUUCUAGCUAGUCAUUUAACAUCCUCCUUGGUACACAUGAUGCACGUUUAAUAUGCUAUGUUUAAUAUGUAAGAAUUUUAUUUGUGGGUUUUUGUUCGGUCAUAGAUUUUGGGGUUAAUGGUGACGUUAUUUUGUGGAUAAAAGAUUUUCUCUCUAACCAAGCACUGCGAGUCUCCUUCUGUGGAACAACGUUCGACUUGCUCCUCACGGAUGUGUUUCUUCUGCUGUUCCCAACUGAAUUCAAGAUGAAAGAGCAGAGGGGGUUUUAAGUAUGCAGAUGACAUAGCCUUAGUUGGCCUUCGUGAAGUGAACCUGAGUGUUUGGCCCGAACACACUCGCUUCAGACUUGGUGCGAAAGAAACAAUUUAGAAAUCAAUGUUGAUGGGACUAAAGAUUGUUUGUGACAAGCAGGAUUUCACUUCAAAGCCAAAUGUAUUUGACAUGUUGACAGUCCUGGAUGACCAAUUGAGUUUUAAAUGCAUCAGGACAAGAGAUAUAAAGCCCUAAAAUGUCUUAAUACCAAAUUUAGAGCAUUAAUAUAGCAGUAAACAACUAUUGUUUGAGAAUGAAGUCACUCUCCAUCUGUGUGUGUUGUUAUUCGAUCUACUCUGUGCUUUGUUUACAAAGCCAGGUCGGCCAUGCGAGUCCUUGUUUGUGUGCUCAGCUGACUAGCUAAUAAUCGCCGCUCUGCACUGCACUGCACUGCGCUCAAACGGCAGUUAGCACUGAUAACGGAAAUGUAAGGGCCACCCUCAGGUUAACUGUUAGCUCUGUCAGCACUGUUGUAGCUGUUAGCACCAUUAGCUAGCACCAUCUGUUCUGAGUUUGAAGCCUUUCAGUCUGCUUAAAGUGUGUCGGGGAGUUGCUAAGGGGUGCCUUUGACAACCAAAAAUAGUUUUAAGAAGUCUUCUAUUCCAAGUGCAAUCAGCAUUUUAAAGUUUAAAAAAAUGACGAGCUACAAAUCUUGCUCUACAGUAUUUUGUUUUAAGCUUUGUUUUAGGUAUUUUAUCUGUACCCUUCAAUGUGUGCACUGUAGUGUAAGCUGUUAUUUCUCUCAGUGGUAUCUUGUUGCCACACUUGUUCUAUAUGUUACUUGUUUUAUGUUACUGUUCUCGUGCUGCUUUUAUGUUUUGAUGAGCCACAGACAAUGUUGCACUCCGGUGGAACACACACUUGUAUUCUACUCUAUUCCAAAUGAACAAAAUCCAAAACCUUCAACUACCUUGUCUGUAACUCUCAGCACCAAACCCACUGGUACUGAAGAGAGUGUAGUUUUUUUUAAAUAAAAAACGUUUGAUAAGACUAAUCUCCCAAAACAGCUGGCCACUGUAGUUUUUAGCAAACAUUACUCUUAAUCGCUUUUUCUUUCUUUGGGACUAUUUUCAACGGCGGAUUAAUCCCCAUUUGGUGCACUAGUGAGUAUCUGGGGCAGCAGGAGGUUCAUGAAGGAUUGAGUCAACAUAAACUGCAGUCUGUGUGUUCCUACUAAUGAAGGAACAUGUCAACAGUGUGUUUUUAAUAGUGUUUGGACAACAAGAGGAACUGAGAAACCAACACUUUUGAGUAGCGUCACUUCACUGUUGGUUUCGGCCUCCUCAUGGGAUUUGUUGAACAACAGCCCUAUCUUUUAAACAUGGUUAAAGGAAAUUAUAUCAUGCUUUUGGAAAUCACUCUUGUAAUUUAUGACAUUUUCAUUCUGAGAUUAAUGCUUGAGAGCUCUCAUUAAGACGAUUAUGCAAAAGUCGAAACACAAGCGAUCAGACCAACAUCAACUCUUCACCAUUCAGUUUGUACCGCAGGCUUUCUCUUAUUCAUGUGUAGUCCGAGAUAAUGCUGAUGCCAUCAUUUUAAUAACCCUGAUGACAUCAUCUUAAUAACCCUGAUGACAUCAUCUGGGUUUUUGCUCCCCCACAGCUACACAAGACCUUAUAGAACUCACAGGCGUUCCACUUUAAUGCGUAAUGUUUGCUAUAAAAGUACUGUAAAUAAAUGCUCCUCUAUAAAUGUAACUGUAUUUUAUAUGAAAUGAUUGCAUUAAAUAACUGAUUGUUGUGUUACUGUAAACAAUUAUGUAACUAUUAUAAAAAAACUUGGAACAAAUAAAAACGGAGGCAGGCCUCUCUCUGAUGUUUAC
ensembl:lncRNA uncharacterized LOC115007250